CGGGGUGGCUGGAUAGUCGCUCUAUGUGAGAGGAAAGUCCGGGCUUCACAGGGCAGGAUGCUCCCUAACUGAGAGGUCUGAUUGGAGAGGUCAGACGGAAAGUGCCACAGAAAACACACCGCUCCGCUCUCGUCAGAGAGCGCGAGUAAGGGUGAAAUGGCGAGGUAAGAGCUCACCGCCCUGGUGGUGACAUCAGGGGCAGGGCAAACCCCAUCUGAAGCAAAACCAAGCAGUCCUGUUUGAAGCGGCCCGCUUCGAUCUUUCACACUCGUGAAAGACGCAGGAUGGGUAGGUUGCGCAGAACCCGGUAGCAAUAUCGGGACAAGAUAAAUGACUGUCUAAAACAGAACCCGGCUUACGGGCCACCCCUUCCU
rnacentral:RNase_P_RNA from 2 species